rnacentral:lncRNA from 1 species
GACAAGAAAAAGAAAUAUGAACCUCCUAUACCAGCUAGAGUGAGGAAGAAGAAGAAAACAAAGGGACCAGAUGCUGCCAGCAAACUGCCACUGAUGACACCUCACACUCUGUGCCAGUUAAAAUUAUUGAAAGUUAGAGAUAAUUAAAUACUGUCUUCUCAUGAAGGAAGAAUUCAUUAGAAAUCAGGAACAAAUGAAACUAUUAGAAGGAAAGCAAGAGGAGGAAAGAUCAAAAGUGGAUGAUCUGAGGGGACCCUGAUGUCAGUAGUAACCUUGGAAGAGAUUAUUGAUGACAAUCAUGCCAUCAUGUCUACAUCUGUGGGCUCAGAGCAUUCUUGUAGACAAGGAUCUGCUGGAACCUGGCUGCUCGGUCCUGCUCAACCACAAGGUUCGUGCUGUGAUAUGGGUGCUGAUGGAUGACACGGAUACCCUAGUCACAAUGAUGAAGGUGGAAAAGACCCCCCAGGAGACCUGUGUUGAUACUGGGGGGUUGGACAGCCAAAUUCAGGAAAUUAAGGAAAUCAUUCUGAAUAUUAUGAAGAGAUGGGUAUAAAGCCCCCUAAGGGAGUCAUUCACUAUGGUCCACCUGGCACAGGUAAAACCUUGUUAGCCAAAGCAGUAGCAAACCACAUCUUAGCCACUUUCUUGCAAGUGAUCAGCUCUGAAUUUAUUCAGAAAUACCUACAUGAUGGGCCCAAACUCAUAUGGGAAUUGUUUCUAGUUGCUGAAGAACAUGCACCUUCCAUCAUGUUUAUUGAUGAAAUUGAUGCUAUUAGGACAAAAAGAUGUGACUCAAAUUCUGAUAGUGAGAGAGAAAUUCAGCAAAUAAUGCUGGAAAUGUUGAACCAGUUGGAUGGAUUUGAUUCAAGGGGAGAUGUGAAAGUUAUCAUAUCCACAAGCCGAAUAGAAACUUUGGAUCUAGCACUUAUCAGACCAGGCUACACUGACAGGAAGCUCAAGUUCCCCCUGCCUGAUGAAAAGACUAAGAAGCACAUCUUUCAGAUGCACACAAGCAGCAUGACACUGGCCAAUGAUGUAACCCUGGAACGACUUGACACUUGACAUCAAGGCAAUCUGCACAGAAGCUAGUCUGAUGGCCUUAAAAGAACAUGGAAUGAAAGUAACAAAUGAAAACUUCAAAAAAUCUCAAGAAAAUGUUCUUUAUAAAGAACAGGAAGACACCCCCAAGGGGCUCUGUCUCUAG